UACGUAGGGUGCAAGCGUUGUCCGGAAUUAUUGGGCGUAAAGAGCUUGUAGGCGGUUUGUUGCGUCGGCUGUGAAAUCCCGAGGCUCAACCUCGGGUCUGCAGUCGAUACGAGCAAACUAGAGUGUUGCAGGGGAGACUGGAAUUCCUGGUGUAGCGGUGAAAUGCGCAGAUAUCGGGAGGAACACCAAUGGCGAAGGCAGCUUGCUGGGGCGGUACUGACACUGAGGCGCGAAAGCGUGGGGAGCAAACAGG
rnacentral:rRNA from 1 species